rnacentral:tRNA from 1 species
GUCUUCGUGGUGUUGUUGUCAGCACACUCGACGCGUAAUCGAGAGGUCCGGGGUUCGAGUCCCGACGAGGGCA